rnacentral:rRNA from 1 species
UACAGAGGUCUCAAGCGUUGUUCGGAUUCAUUGGGCGUAAAGGGUGCGUAGGCGGCGCGGUAAGUCGGGUGUGAAAUCUCGGGGCUUAACUCCGAAACUGCAUUCGAUACUGCCGUGCUUGAGGACUGGAGAGGAGACUGGAAUUUACGGUGUAGCGGUGAAAUGCGUAGAUAUCGUAAGGAAGACCAGUGGCGAAGGCGGGUCUCUGGACAGUUCCUGACGCUGAGGCACGAAGGCCAGGGGAGCAAACGGGAUUAGA